AACGAACGCUGGCGGCAGGCUUAACACAUGCAAGUCGAACGCCUGGGAGCGAUCCCGGGAGUGGCAGACGGGUGAGUAACACGUGGGAACAUACCCUUUGGUUCGGAACAACUCUGGGAAACUAGAGCUAAUACCGGAUAAGCCUCUGGAGCGAUUUUGGGGGGAAAGGUUAGAUCUUGCCUGAGGAUUGGCCCGCGUCCGAUUAGCUCGUUGGUGGGGUAACGGCUCACCAAGGCUUCGAUCGGUAGCUGGUCUGAGAGGAU
rnacentral:rRNA from 1 species